CCUACGGGUGGCAGCAGUGAGGAAUAUUGGUCAAUGGACGAGAGUCUGAACCAGCCAAGUAGCGUGAAGGAUGACUGCCCUAUGGGUUGCAAACUUCUUUUAUAAGGGAAUAAAACGAGGCACGUGUGCCUUUUUUCAUGUACUUUAUGAAUAAGGAUCGGCUAACUCCGUGCCAGCAGCCGCGGUAAUACAGAGGAUCCGAGCGUUUUCCGGAUUUAUUGGGGUUAAAGGGAGCGUAGAUGGGUUGUUAAGUCAGUUGUGAAAGUUUGCGGCUCAACCGUAAAAUUGCAAUUGAUACUGGCAGUCUUGAGUACAGUUGAGGUAGGCGGAAUGCGUGGUGUAGCGGUGAAAUGCGUAGA
rnacentral:rRNA from 1 species